GGUGGAAUGCUGGAGUGGACAAACAGGCUGGUCUCGAAAACCAUGCGAGGCGAUAAGUCUCACGGGGGUUCGAAUCCCUCUUCCACCG
rnacentral:tRNA from 2 species